rnacentral:rRNA from 1 species
UACGUAGGGGGCAAGCGUUGUCCGGAAUCAUUGGGCGUAAAGAGCGUGUAGGCGGCCCGGUAAGUCCGCUGUAAAAGUCAAAGGCUCAACCUUUGAAUGUCAGUGGAUACUGCCGGGCUAGAGUCCGGAAGAGGCGAGUGGAACUCCUGGUGUAGCGGUGGAAUGUGCAGAUAUCAGGAGGAACACCGAUAGGCGAAGGCAGCUCGCUGGGACGGUACUGACGCUGAGGCGCGAAAGCGUGGGGAGCGAACAGG